rnacentral:rRNA from 1 species
GGGUGAACCUGCGGAAGGAUCAUUAGCGAGAGUAGUUUUCGUCGCGAGACGAGCUGCCCGACCUGUUGUCAUUGGCACUGGGGAUGGUGGGGGGUGGUUCUGGUUUGGGGUUACCCGGAGGGGACGAAGGUCCCGGAAGGGUUGCUCGGGCCGGCCCGCCCGCCGCUCCGGCAUCAUAUACUUCGGCGGAGGAGGCAGGCGUCGACCUGCCCGCCGCCGGCCGUAACCUUUACCAUCUUGAGGAAGCUGAAGUCUGAAUGUGAUUGAAGAAGAAAAGCAAAACUUUCAACAACGGAUCUCUUGGCUCUGGCAACGAUGAAGAACGCAGCGAAACGCGAAAGGUAAUGCGAAUUGCAGAAUCAGUGAGUCAUCGAAUCUUUGAACGCACAUUGCGCCUCUCGGUAUUCCGGGAGGCACGCCUGUUCGAGCGCCAUUACAAACUCCAAGCGUGGCUUGAUGUUGGCCGACGUUCCGAGAGGGACGCGGCUGGAACGGGUUGGCGCCGCCGCCGGACCACGAGCGUAGCAAGACGAGAGUCGUGUCGCAUCGGUGGAGCGGACGGACGUCCCCC